ensembl:lncRNA
GAAAAAGUUGUGAUGGACUACUUUCUGGACGACGAUCGUGCCAUGCAAUGCUGACUCUCAUUUCAUAACACAUUUUGAAAUCAGUGGAACAGAACGGUCCAAACAAGCUGUGCAAACUAAACAGAAACAACACACGAUGUCUUAUAAAAGGGUUUGCAGUCUGCAUUGAAGUUUUCAUCCAUGUAUACAGCAUUAAUUAGUGGAACACGCCUGACUAAUCUGCCAGUCAUACAUUCAUCAAAAAGAGGUAGCCCAAUCAAGCAAAGGCAGCAGCGAAGUCAUCAACUACAUGCACCAUUUCUUCACCAACUACGGAGUUGGGAAAACACAUGUGGACCUGAAUUGUCAUAACUGCAGUGGCCAAAACAAGAACAAGUUUGUGCUCUGGUAUUGUGCCUGGUGGACCAUGCACAAGCUCCACCACAAUCUGGACCUUCACUUCCUGAUCACAGGCCACACAAAGUUUGCCCCUGUGGGGUACUUUGGCCUCAUCAAGCAGCGCUCUUGAAGACCAGAGUGAACACUUUAUCUGAGAUUAAUGUCCUUCACGACACCAGCACUGUGACAGGGGUCAACAUCCCACGGCUGCUUGGACUGGAGGAUGGUAUGGUGCUGGUGGAAAGCUAUGGCUGGCCACAACACCUGACUCUGUACUUCGGGCCGCUGCCACAGAUCAAGCAGUACCAUCACUUCAGCUUCGAUGCUCCGGAGCCUGGUGUUGUUGCCAAGGAGCGUUCGGACUGCUGGGACCAGGUUUUAGCUGCUGCAUAACGCUGACAUCCUUCCUCCCAUAGAUGGUCUGCCUGUAAAAGCACCACCUGGACACAGCUAGACAAACUCUUUUUGACAAGAUCAGGGAGUUUUGCGACGAAGAGGCUAUGGACAUCACAUGCCCUGCACCAAAGCCAAGGGCAGGACAGAAACAGGCUCUCCGAAUAUAGAUUCCCUUGUUCAUGCGUGGUUUGGACGGAACAGUCAACAGCACUAUCUGCAGUGCCUCUUCACAUGACUCUCUACUAACACACACAUACCAUACGUUUCUGCUAUUUUUGUUGUUGUCCUGCUGCUCAACCACUUUACCCCUGAUUGGUAUGCAUAUAAGUACCUCGUCUAUCACUAUUGAUAUUGUUUGUGUACAUACUGUAUAUUUGAUUUAUAUUUACACUAUAUUUAUAUUGCUACUAUGCAAGUAACCAUUUGGCUGUAAAGUUUACACCUCUGUAGAGACCAUCCACUUAGCAAAAUAUUGAUAUAUUGUGCCCCUGGCUAUCCAUCAAUAAAACAUCAUAGCAUUUCUUUCACAUGACCCAUCAAUUUAGACAAGUGUAUCUGGGUAAGUGUCAUCUAAUAUGGACACUUUCCACUUACCUGGAAUUUUUCCUUAUUGUAGGCUACUACCACUUUUAGUCUUUAGCACA